ACGUUUUCAAGUCAAACUUUUUGUUCUCCUCUGGGACCUGGCCAGUCACUGGGUGUCGAAAUGUGUUCCGUCUUUCAUUGUGGCUGCCCGCAGGAGGGGUGUGCAGGAACCAGGGCCCAGGAGCACCUCGUGUUCCAAAUGAUCCUUUUACCUCCUCCAAGCAGUGUGCAAGCUUCUGAGUAGAAAGAGGCAAGUGCCCCAACUCACCUGCCUCCUGAUGGGCGGGGCCAGAAGAGGCUCCACCCCAGACUAAGUGGCCAAAGAAGCCUUCCUGGAGCUAUGUAGCUGUAGGGUUUAACUUAGUAUUCAACUUGGGUGCCUGUUCCAUAUUCAUGCCCAUGCCGGGCAGUCACGAGAUGACCAAGGCACAGCUCCCCCCACCCCCACCCCCACCCCAUUUACCUCUUACCCCUUCACUUUCACUGAUCUUCAAGGACCACAGGGCCUGGGAUCCCCUCUGACUUAGCCAGAGCAAGAAGGCAGUGCGAAAGUGAGCUAGCAAGGCAAGAGACCCCACAAUGAAUCUCAGCAGCAGUCCUGACUCUUGAAACUCAAAUCCUGGUCCUGCCACUGGCUGCCUGGCCACGGGCAGACUACUGAAUGCCUCAGCCUCAGUCACAAGGUUACUGUGACCCUUUCCCUGGGUCCCCACCUCCUCCAGAAUGAAGGAAGCAUGCUUAAAGGAAAAGCACCUGGCUUCCAGCAGCAAAGACGCUCCAUAAAUGUAAGGUGUCAUUAUCAUAAAUGCAAGUUCCUGCCCUGCCUAGAAAGGGGGAGGCAGGUUUCUGUCGGGCUCUGUGAUCCCUCCACCAAACAUGAAUACAGCAAAUGGCAAGCCAAUCUGUGAAUACCCAGGCAUUCUGGGUCUCGAGCACCCUGCCCAGGAAAGCCAGAGACCCCCUGGCUUCAUCAGGAGGGAAAUGACAAAUGGUCAGUGAGCAGAGUGAGGAAGAGGGGGGACAGAACAGAGACAGGGAAGAGUAGUUUGACCCUGAGGACCCUGGGUUUUGUACAUCUGGAUUAACUGGGUUUCUCUAACUCUUCAAGGUUUGGCCCAAAGGGGGUGUCAGGGAGGACCACACAGGCCACACCCUAACAGCUCCUUCUCCACUUCCCCAAGAAGGAAGCUGUGGGUGACAGGAACUUCCCUGUGGAAUCAGCACUCAAACCCAGACUCCAAAAGUGCUCUGCCUCUCCAAAAACCAUAUUAAGACUAAUCUCUGAUGUUCACACAGCUCUUUAUACGCAUAGGCUAUUUUUCAUUGCAAUAACCCAAAGGAGGAAGUCCCAGAAUAUGAUUCUUCCUUCUCAGCUGGUAUAAACAGGCAAGGCCUGGAGAGGAUGGCAAAAUAUCUGGAACUACACAUCCUUAGGAGAGAACCAAAGCUAGAAUAGAAAACUGAGUGUUUCCGUGAAAGCCCUGCUCUCACAACCCUGAGCUGUCCAUGGUCCAGCCUGCAAGGUAAACCUACAGCGCAGGGCUUUUCUCCCAGAGGAGCCUCCAGGGCCUGCUCCCCAGCUACUCUGAGGAUGGCUCCCUCUGGGGGACACUCAGAGAUAUAGUCUAUGUUCAGGGACCUGCAGCCCUGAGAUCAAG